rnacentral:lncRNA from 1 species
AGCUUCCCAAAACACUUUUUGAUACAGGAAAACUUGAGGAAAAGCCAUAAACGGAGGGCGGAGCUUGACUGAGCCACCGCACCCAAAACUAGAAAAUACUCCGAUGAACCCAAAAUCCUUUUGUUCCUUUCGUUUCUCGACCUUACGCCAUCUAACGUAUUUUUUGGUGCAGGGUGACCGAAAAAGCCACAAGCAGCAAAGGAGGAGCGGCGGAGCCCGACUGAGCCGCCGCGUCGAAGAUAAAAAACAUCAGUCAAUCCUCGAUUUUCUUAUUUUUUCAUCGACAGACACCACCUAACCACAAAUUAAAUAGGAUUUCACUUAGAACCACCCGAAAUCGACAUGAUUGAGAGGAGGAACUGCCGUAGAAGGAGGAACCAACGGUGGAGCACAACUGUGGCAUUGUGCCGAAACCCUAAACCGACCCCCGGUGAGAUGUUUUUGCCCUUUUGGCCAUUUUUUGCGUAUUCCCACAU